rnacentral:rRNA from 1 species
AACGAACGCUGGCGGCGUGCCUAACACAUGCAAGUCGCGCGAGAAAAGGGAGCAAUCCCUGAGUAAAGCGGCGAACGGGUGAGUAACACGUAGGUAAUCUACCCCCAAGUCUGGGAUAACCUACCGAAAGGGUGGGCUAAUACCGGAUAUGACCACGGGAGUUCCGGCUCCUGCGGUGAAAGGUGGCCUCUGCUUGCAAGCUACCGCUCGAGGAUGAGCCUGCGCGCCAUAGCUAGUUGGCGGGGUAACGGCCCACCAAGGCGAUGAUGGCUAGCUGGUCUGAGAGGAUGGCCAGCCACACUGGGACUGAAACACGGCCCAGACUCCUACGGGAGGCAG